GGGGCGGGGAGGCGCAUGCGUGUGGCGCCUGCGUGGCGUGCGUGGCGUGGUGUGCGUGCGUGGGUGUUGCGCGCGUGGGGCAGAGGCGAGAGCGGAAGGGGAUGCUGAGGGACCCCCGGCGCCCGCCGGAGGGAGUGCAGUCAGGCUGUCAGCGGACCUCAGCUGACAGGCAUACCUAGCUGUACCGUUUUCAGCCUAAGCCCACCAGGUCCAUCUUGUGAAGUCACAAGCCUGAAGUAUUUUUGGAAGGUCCUAAGUGGAAAGUACUGGAUUUCCAUGGCAU